CACCUUGGCUGUGAAACGGGGUGUGUGUGGAGGGCUGGUGGGGAGGGGGCAGCCUGCGGGCGGGGACGUGGAGACGCGCAGGCUGGGGGCGGCGCAGGCGGGCUGAGGGGUCCUGGGCUCGCCAGGGCCUCGUCUGGGGUUAUGACUCCCGCGGGAAGCACGACUGCUUCGGAGAGUUCUCCACCGCCUUCGAGGAGAUGCAGAAAGCCUUUGGGGAGAACCAGGUGAGCGGGCCCUCCCUGCCCUGCCUGUGGGCGAGCCGGAAGCGCUGGCCCUGGGCUGGGCUGUCCCAGAAGCUGUGAUGGCUUUAGAGAGAAGACCGGUGACGACGGCGGAGAAUGAUACCCGCUGGCCCAGCAGGGGGCUGGGGUCGGGACCCCAGGCCUGUGUGGAAGCUGGAGAAACGCCCUCCAGGGCGAGGGAUUUCAGGCUCCCCCCCGGCCCCAAGGGUGGGUGUUGGGCGGUGGCGCUCGGGAUGGGGGUCUCUGCCUGUCCCUGUCCCCCCGGCCCAGUGGGACUGUGUGAACCCCAAGUACAAGCAGAAGAGGCGCAGUUACACGAACUCGGGCGUGGCCUUGCUGGCCGACCCGAAGGUGGCCGUUGACUUCACCCUCGGAACAGCUGCUCCCUCCACUAUAUCAACUCCUUCCAGCCCAGCGAGUACCUGCAGGCCCUGGUGGCCGUGGGCGAGAUCUGCCAGGACUAUGACAGGUGCGCUGGCCUCCCCACCCCGGGCGCACCCCCGCUGUCCCCCUCACCUUCACACAGACCCGGGCUUCCGAGUCCCACUGCACAGACCAGUAAACUGGGGCUGUCGGGGCCAAGCUCCCACACCGGUGGCUCUGCCCCUUGUCUGCGCGCAUGCUGGGCAGCUCCUUUGUGGCUUUUUGCCUCAGUUUCCCCCAUGUGGCUCAGGGUGGGGCCUGGCCCCCCCAAAAGGGUCAGCCUGGUCUCCUGGUUCUGUUGAUGUCUCCCCCCCACCCCAUCCCCAGGAGACCAGGGCCCUGGGUGAUGGGGCCACCUCUCUUUCAGCGACAAGAGGCUCUCUGCUUUGGGGUUUGGAGCCCAGAUCCCUCCCAAGGAUGAGGUAGGAGGCCUGGGUCCCGGGACCCGCUGGUUGCUGCCUCCCCCCUCCCCUGGGAGCCAGCUACCGUGUGAUGGGCAGUAGACAGGGUUCAGGGACCAGCCUCUGGCCAGAGGUCUGACCUUUGACCUCCCAGCACCAGCCCAGUGAUCCUAGGGCUGAAGAUAAGCCCUGUGGCCCUGUCCGGAGAAGGGGGACAUUAGUCCAGAAUCCUCCAGUGAGAAGGGAUUUUAGCUGGCUUAAGCAGGAACUUGGUGGGGUUUAUCAGCUAAUGAAACUCAGAAGCUUCAGGUCUGGCUGGAUCCAGGGCUGGAGCGAUGCCCUAGCACUAGUCUGUCUGUCCACCCUCUGUCCCCAGUGACUCCCGCCCAUGGGAGCUCCAAACCUGCUUCCCCCAGUGGGUCAGGAUCGACUGGCUGACCGGUCCUUUCUGUGCCCGCCCAGGUGUCCCAUGACUUUGCCAUCAAUUUCAACCUGGAGGACGGUGAGUGUGAAGGUAGGAGCUCCAGGUGCCUGGGCUGGGGGUGGGGUGGCAGCGAGGCCGGCUCAUGCCCUUCCCCCCGCAGGCAUCCAGGGCAUGGUGGAGGCGUCCCAGAACUGCCUGCCCAGGGUCCAGCUGUAUGGCCACCACGUGGCUCCCAUCAUCUCCAAGGUGGCCUGCACGGCUGCAGCUGAGGAACGCAGCGGAGAGGCUCCUGUAGGUGGUGGGCGGGCACUGCGGGGACCGCGUGCCUUAGAAGGUGUGCCUGCUGCUGGGGAGGUGGGACCGGAUGGGGGUUUGCAGAGGUUGACAGAGCAGCCCGCGGGAGGCCCUGAGGCAGGGAGCGAGAGGCAGCUGGGUGGCAGUGGGGCUGAGAGACCAGGAGGCCCCAGAGCCAGUGGGGUAAGGUGAAUUCUUGCCCUGGAGGCUGACUUGCCGAGCCCGCAGGCAGCCCGAUGCUUAUGGUUCUCUUGGUCCAAUUGUGUAUACGUCGUUAUUUUUUUUUUUUUUUUUUUUUUUUUUUUUU
rnacentral:lncRNA from 1 species